UACAGAGGUCUCAAGCGUUGUUCGGAUUCAUUGGGCGUAAAGGGUGCGUAGGCGGCGCGGUAAGUCGGGUGUGAAAUCUCGGGGCUUAACUCCGAAAACUGCAUUCGAUACUGCCGUGCUUGAGGACUGGAGAGGAGACUGGAAUUCCUGGUGUAGCGGUGAAAUGCGCAGAUAUCAGGAGGAACACCGAUGGCGAAGGCAGGUCUCUGGGCAUUAACUGACGCUGAGGAGCGAAAAGCAUGGGGGAGCGAACAGG
rnacentral:rRNA from 1 species